UUAUUUUCUUAAUAUCUAUAAUUUCUAUGUUUUUAAGUAUAUAUAAUAUUAAAACUUUAAGAUAAUCUAAAUGAUCUAUUUUUAAAAUUGUUUUGUAGCUGUUUGUUUUAGUCUUAGUAGUUUUUGCAUAUUUUUAUUAAGAAAUUUUAUAUCUUUGUUUUCCAUGUGUUUAUUUUUAUUUUUUCUAGUAACUGCAAAAGUUUUUUUUUUUAUCUUUUUUCUAAAAUUUUAUGUAAUUUAUCACCUUAAGUAUUUAUAAGAGUCGUUAGGUAUUUGUGGUAUAUAGCUUAUUCUAGACAUAUAAUUUUUACCAAAAGCUUUUUCUAAUAUUAUUUUUCUUAUAUCUGCUACUUUUAUAUUUCUAAGUGCAUACAAAAUAAGUAUCUUGAAUUUAUCUACCAUCACAUCAGAUAUAUUAUCAUUCAUUUUUCAUAAAUUUGCUUUUUUCAAAAUAUUCCCUUCAAUCACGUACACAACAAAAUAUGGUCAUAUUGGCUUACUAUAUACUAGAUUAUUCUUAAAUAAUAUGUUCUUCCGUCACUAUUAACAUGGUAAUCUGGAUACUUUUUCCCUUAAACAGCGCCUCUACUCUGGUUACUCCCCGCCACGGCUUCUUGCCUCAAUGGUUUCACCUUUAGGAUGGCAUAGUCCUUAGGGAUAUUUCUCCGUUUCCUCUUUGUUAAUAAACUUCUUAACAUAUUAUUCUUCG
rnacentral:lncRNA from 1 species